UACAGAGGGUGCAAGCGUUAAUCGGAAUUACUGGGCGUAAAGCGUGUGUAGACGGUUACAUAAGUCGGGUGUGAAAUCUCCGGGCUCAACCUGGGAAUUGCAUUCGAGACUGCGUAGCUAGGGUGCGGAAGAGGGAAGCGGAAUUUCCGGUGUAGCGGUGAAAUGCGUAGAUAUCAGGAAGAACACCCGUGGCUAAGGCGGCUCUCUGGUACGGUACUGACGCUGAGACGCGAAAGCGUGGGGAGCGAACAGG
rnacentral:rRNA from 1 species